UGGGGGAUAUUGCACAAUAGGGGAAACCCUGAUGCAGCGACGCCGCGUGGGUGAAGGAGCACUUCGGUGCGUAAAGCCCUAUCGGCAGGGAAGAAAAGGGGGAAACCCAGACGGUACCUGACUAAGAAGCCCCGGCUAACUACGUGCC
rnacentral:rRNA from 1 species